AUACGUACCUGGCAGGGGAGAUACCACGAUCCCGAUCCCGAAGGUGGUUUUCCCAGGGCACGCCUUAUCCAUUGCACUCCGGAUGUGCUGACCCCUGGGAUUUCCCCAAACGUGGGGAGCUCAACUGCAUAAUUUGUGAUGGUUGGGGACUGCGUUUGCACUCUCCUCUU